GUAAUUAUGUUGAUAGUAAAACAAACAAUAAGUUCCAGUGAAAACCACUUAAAAUUGCACUGUAAAAUAGGGCAAUUAGUGUGAGUUACAGUGUAAGUACAAUGGCAGUGAAACUUACAUGGAAUAAAUUCCAGAAUGAAAAAUACACUAAAAGUUUGAUUGGAAUUUUCAAAAUACACUAGAGUGAUAUUUCAGUUAAAAAAACCCCUUCCAUGUCCAAUCUACAGAGACCAAAUGUACUGCAAUUGGAGUGAGUUUACAGUGUACAUACAUUGUAAAAAGAACUGCAAGUACACUCACAUUACACUGUAAUUUACAUAUGAUAUAUUACAAAAUGGAAAUUACACUACAAUUUGGACUGGAAUUUUAAGGACACCGCACUGUAAUUCAGAUCUUUGUUGACACUGUACAUAGGUCAAAGAAACACUGAAAGUAAAGCAAAAAACUGUAGCUUUGCUUAAGAAUGAUACUGAGUGCUAGAUACAUCGUCAACAUGCUAUAUACUGGCUUGUGCUGCAUGUUGCUGCUGCCGUGCAGCAAACAAGCGACCGACUGUCAAGAGAUAGCAAGUCCGGCCUCUAGCAAGAUCAUAUAUUUGUGAACAAUUCAAAAAAAAGGUGUAAGAGCUAGAGAACCCAGAGCAAAUCGCGUACAGACCCAUCAACGCGUACGCAUCUAGCAGUUCAUGGCACAUACUAAACCGGAUCCACGAGCACUUUAGCAUGCUUCUGACUGGAUUUGUUAUAACUAAAACCCUACUCAUAAUAUUUGAGCAUAUUGAGUUACUGAAAACUAAUUAUCACGGCAAAAUAUAUAAAAGGACCGAACCAGAUACAACAAAACUGGCACAACAUGCGUAAAAUCCUAGAAUCCAAACAGGUAAGACAAGCACAUUGCAAGCUUCAUCAUAUCAGCAUUUUAGCAUGCUUCAGACUGCAUUCGUUAUAACAAAAAUUCUACUCAUAAGACUGGAACAAAGUGACUGCACAGGCCAUACCUUAAUGCCAACUUGUACUUUGCUAUCCCCAAUGGUUCUUCCCUCUCCAACAGCAACCACCUCGCCACUCUGAUUAUCAGUGGGGCAAAUACAGAGUAGCACAGAUGCAUCACAGUUUUGUGAUUAGGAGACCCCACACACGGAUUAAGAACUAAAAAGGCAUGAAACUUCAUCAAAGCACACAUUACCCAUCGUCAAAACUAGUAAAACGAAAUUCAAAAAAUGGUGAGUGAGCCAGCCUCACCAUGCGGGGGCGUUUGCCAGUAACUCACGUUGCUGCUCACAGAUGCAGCGACUAGUUUUUAUACUGGCAGGGGUGAACCUAAUCACAACACUGGGCGUGUGGUCUCACAGAUGCAUGCACUUGUAGACACUACACAUAGCUGCGUGUUGUAUUACCCAACCCAUCAGGCAAAGCAUAAUCAAGUUAUCUGAAUUUUAAAAUUCAGUAAACAGGGAACCAAUUUUUGCAAUGGCCAUUCUAAUUCCCAAAAUAUCUAAGGUAGGUUAUUUAACAUUAUAUAUACCAAUCUGUAUGCAUGUUGAUACCGUAAAAAAUUCAAGAUGAAGUAUCAUAUACCUAGGAAGUUCAGAAUUGAAUAGCAUAGUGCCAAAAAAUUGUCCUGCAUGCCAGAAACACAAGACACACCAAUAGAACAGGAGCUUCCAUCAGUAACCACUCCAUCCACACUUCGAUCCCAGAGGUUUAAUGAUAACCAUCCUAAACCAAGCAGCCGCAGCAACCACCGGCGCCUGCAACGACGCCGCAGCAGCCUAGAUCAGCGGGUCGAGCCUUGAACUGGAGGAUCCAACCCAAAUCACACUGGACAUGGAGCACAGGAUACGAGAACAACAAUUCCAGCGAAGGCGGAGCACUCAC
rnacentral:lncRNA from 1 species